rnacentral:snRNA from 1 species
GUGCUCCCUUGGGCAGCACAUAUACUAAAAUUGGAAUGAGAGAGAGAUUAGCAUGGCCCCUGCGCAAGGAUGACACGCAAAUUGUGAAGCGUUCCAUAUUUUU